GAUGAACGCUGGCGGCGUGCCUAAUACAUGCAAGUCGAGCGAACAGACGAGGAGCUUGCUCCUCUGACGUUAGCGGCGGACGGGUGAGUAACACGUGGAUAACCUACCUAUAAGACUGGGAUAACUUCGGGAAACCGGAGCUAAUACCGGAUAAUAUAUUGAACCGCAUGGUUCAAUAGUGAAAGACGGUUUUGCUGUCACUUAUAGAUGGAUCCGCGCCGCAUUAGCUAGUUGGUAAGGUAACGGCUUACCAAGGCAACGAUGCGUAGCCGACCUGAGAGGGUGAUCGGCCACAGUGGAACUGAGACCCGGUCAAGACUCCUACGGGAGGCAGCAGUAGGGAAUCUUCCGCAAUGGGCGAAAGCCUGAAGGAGCAACGUCGCGUGAGUGAUGAAGGUCUUCGGAUCGUAAAACUCUGUUAUGAGGGAAGAACAAAUGUGUAAGUAACUGUGCACAGCGUGACGGUACCUAAUCAGAAAGCCACGGCUAACUACGUG
rnacentral:rRNA from 1 species